rnacentral:tRNA from 1 species
AAUGAAGUGCCUGAUGUAAAGGAUUAUCUUGAUAGGGUAAAAAAAGUAAAUAAAUUACCUUCAUUA